rnacentral:rRNA from 1 species
GACGAACGCUGGCGGCGUGCUUAACACAUGCAAGUCGAGCGGUAAGGCCCUUUCGGGGGUACACGAGCGGCGAACGGGUGAGUAACACGUGGGUGACCUGCCCUCAGCUCUGGGAUAAGCCUGGGAAACCGGGUCUAAUACCGGAUAUGACUCCAUGACGCAUGUUGUGGGGUGGAAAGCCUUGUGCGGCUGAGGAUGGGCCCGCGGCCUAUCAGCUUGUUGGUGGGGUGAUGGCCUACCAAGGCGACGACGGGUAGCCGGCCUGAGAGGGCGACCGGCCACACUGGGACUGAGACACGGCCCAGACUCCUACGGGAGGCAGCAGUGGGGAAUCUUGCGCAAUGGGCGAAAGCCUGACGCAGCGAUGCCGCGUGUGUGAAGAAGGCCUGCGGGUUGUAAAGCACUUUCAGUA